UGAAGUUUUAGAUUCUUUUCGAUUUUUUAUUUUUCUAAUUAUCAAACCACCUUAAUUGUAGGGCUUGUGUCUACCAUUGGAUUUUGCGGUUAGAUGGUCAAUAUAUAAUUAACCAGCACUCCACCACCCUUUCAUAAAAGCAUUUUAGUUUUGGAUUUAACUUGUGUAUAUUAAUAGUUGUGUCAAAAAAGAAAAAAAAUCACCUUUAAGUUAAAAUAACUUGUAACUUUAAUAUUUAUAUAGAGGCUGGUAUCAACAUGCUUGUUUCAUCGCUGAAAUGCAUUUUUGUCCUUUUAAGUGCUUCAUCAUAACUUAAGUGUCCUUAGAGCUGAAAAGCAUGUCAUCUUCCUCUCUUUGAACGCUCUCCGUCUCCUUCUCUGCUAUUUUCCUUUCAUUUUUUUCCUCUCUUUCUUUCCCCUCUUAAAAGUUUCGCUACUUGAUAAGUUGAUAACGUCCCACCACCGGCUAUCACCAGGGUUCAGAUUCUUCCUUUAUGCAGGAUCCACUAUUGAUGUACAAUAAAGAUUCAACGAGUCUCCCAUAGCAAGAGAACUCUGCUCAGUCAAAACAACCACGACCUCAGAGGACGCUGCAUUAGCUGAUUUAGUAGUGCUUAAUUUUUUAGUGAACUCUUUAGCCAAUCCAGUGCAAAAGUAUACUUUACUUUUAUUUAUGAUCUCUAGAAAGGUUUAAAGGACAAUACCUCCAAAAUCAUUAAUUUUACUUUAAAUGGACAGAGAAAAUGCGAUCCAUCCACUAUUGUCAUCAACCACGAUGGACGUCGCAGAAGGGAGCAAGUUUGGAGUUAAACAUAGUGGCUCAGAGAGGAGACAAGAUCAAGACACAAUGAGGAAAUUCUCUCUGCCACAAACAUAGGAUGGAAAUAAAGCUUGAUGGAAAUAAAGCUUCUCCUUUGAAGAAGUGCUGGAAGGAAUGGAAUGGCGUGCUAGUUGUAAUUAGCCCGAUUGUUGGAUUGCUUGGGCAACUUAAGGUAUGUUAAGGCUAGUCUCUUUCUUUCUAAAGGCAUGAUUCUUUUCUUAUGAACCCAUACAUGACUUCCAUAAUAUCCUUAUUCCCAAAAAGCUAGAAUUCUAUGAUUCUUAAAGUUCUUAUGAUGAUAAAAUAGAUGUUUUCUAUGAUGACGAUGAUGAUCCCAUUUCUAGAGAUUCCAAAGCUUAUGGAUUUGAUGCUAUUAUGACAUUAUUGACUUUAUUUCAUGAAUUUCUUGAUUUUAUUCAUUGUUGUUAAUCUCACCUUAUGAUAAUUGUUCCUUCAAGGUGAGAUAUAGCGAUGAUGAUUGCUCCAUAAUAUAAAUCGGAGGUUAUUGACCUUACGUCACUCCGAUAGAGUAGUAACAUUUAAUUGGGCUCUCGUGCACGUUAUAUGUAUUUAUACAUGUGUAAUUUAGAUACUUACCGCGCCUUAAUGGCCGGAAAAGAUACUAUAUAUAUUUCACCGCGCCGUAACGGCCAGACAAGAUACUAUACAUAUUUCACCGCGCCUUAACGGCCGGACAAGAUACUAUACAUAUUUCACCGCGCCUUAAUGGCCGGACAAGAUACUAUAUAUAUUUCACCGCGCCUUAACGUCCGGACAAGAUGCUAUAUAUAUUUCACCGCGCCUUAACGGCCGGACAAGAUACUAUAUAUGUUUAUAUGGAAAAGCUAAGCAUGCAUGACAUCCGCCUUAAAAAGGUAUUCAGACGCACAGGAUGAUCUUUUUUAUAUUACGUUAUCUUCAUACUUUCAUUAUGUUGUUAUUCGUGCCUUACAUACUCAGUACAUCGUUCAUACUGGUGUCCUUUCUCGUGGACGUUGCGUUCAUGCCCUCAGGUAGAUAGGUAGAUUGACCAAACCCUUUGGAGCUUCAUUAGCGGAUUCUCAAGAGCACUCCGCUUACUUCGGAGCUGCAUUCUAUUAGUAUUGGUCCUUAUGGUCAAUUGUAAUCUAUGUAGAGGCUCGUAGACAUGUGAGUACCGUUAGAUAUUUCAUAACCCUACCGGUUCAUAUUUUUGUAUGACAUUUUAGUAGCCUUGUCGGCUGGUGAUGAUGGGCAUAAUUGUUGAAGAUUGUAUAGAGAUGUGUCGUUAUCUUGUGGCAUAUGCCCUUACAGAUCAUGAUACCCAUGAGCUAUCUUUAUGGUCCACCUAGAAAUGAUUAUGAGACGUAUGUUUAGAGGU